UCUCUGUGCAGGAUUCACCCAGUUUAUCAGUAGCCCCAGUGCUUGCAGACUUGUUGGGGGCUUCUGCGGCCAUACAUGUUACCCCAGUUGGAGAUGGAUUGGAACCUGCAGUUUUGGGCUGAGUUGCUGUAACAGGAGAGGGUACCCAGAGUGAGUGAUGGCUGCAAAGAAUGUCAAGGCAGGUUCGCUGAGAAUCUGGCAGACGACGCCUUGCUUUUAAAGUCCUCGGAUGCUUUUCAUCUGGGCUGCAAAGAAUCUCGCAAGCUGGAAAAAAUCCACAAGGGAGCCUUGUGUCCCCCCUAAUAGUUUGAUGUUCUCCUUUUAAUAAAAAUAACUGGUUUGUUGUGGUGUAUCACAAA